rnacentral:rRNA from 1 species
CGCGCAUUGGUAAGGGGGACGGAGGGACGCCAUAAGCGGAUGAGGCACUGAAUAGCAAGCUUGCUUCUCUGACGUUAGCGGCGGACGGGUGAGUAACCCGGUGGGCAACCUGCCUGUAAGACUGGGAUAACUUCGGGAAACCGAAGCUAAUACCGGAUAGGAUCUUCUCCUUCAUGGGAGAUGAUUGAAAGAUGGUUUCGGCUAUCACUUACAGAUGGGCCCGCGGGUGCAUUAGCUAGUUGGUGAGGUAACGGCUCACCAAGGCAACGAUGCAUAGCCGACCUGAGAGGGUGAUCGGCCACACUGGGACUGAGACACGGCCCAGACUCCUACGGGAGGCAGCAGUAGGGAAUCUUCCGCAAUGGACGAAAGUCUGACGGAGCAACGCCGCGUGAGUGAUGAAGGCUUUCGGGUCGUAAAACUCUGUUGUUAGGGAAGAACAAGUACGAGAGUAACUGCUUGUACCUUGACGGUACCUAACCAGAAAGCCACGGCUAACUACGUGCCAGCAGCCGCGGUAAUACGUAGGUGGCAAGCGUUAUCCGGAAUUAUUGGGCGUAAAGCGCGCGCAGGCGGUUUCUUAAGUCUGAUGUGAAAGCCCACGGCUCAACCGUGGAGGGUCAUUGGAAACUGGGGGAACUUGAGUGCAGAAGAGAAAAGCGGAAUUCCACGUGUAGCGGUGAAAUGCGUAGAGAUGUGGAGGAACACCAGUGGCGAAGCGGCUUUUUGGUCUGUAACUGACGGCUGAGGCGCAAAGCGUGGGGAGCAAACGGGAUUAAAAUACCCUGGUAGUCCACGCCCGUAGACAUGAGUGCUAAGUGGUUAGAGGGGUUCCGCCCUUUAUGCUGCAGCUAACGGCAUUAGGCACUCCAGCCUGGGGAAGUACGGUCGCAAGACUGGAAAACUCAAA